GACGAACGCUGGCGGCGUGCCUAAUACAUGCAAGUAGAACGCUGAAGCUUGGUUUUUGCCCCGAGCGGAUGAGUUGCGAACGGGUGAGUAACGCGUAGGUAACCUGUCUGGUAGCGGGGGAUAACUAUUGGAAACGAUAGCUAAUACCGCAUAAGAGUAGAUGUUGCAUGACAUUUGCUUAAAAGGUGCAAUUGCAUCACUACCAGAUGGACCUGCGUUGUAUUAGCUAGUUGGUGAGGUAACGGCGCAUCAAGGCAACGAUACAUAGCCGACCUGAGAGGGUGGUCGGCCACACUGGGACUGAGACACGGCCCAGACUCCUUCGGGAGGGAGCAGUAGGGAAUCUUCGGCAAUGGGCGGAAGUCUGACCGAGCAACGCCGCGUGAGUGAAGAAGGUUUUCGGGUCGGAAAGGUCUGUUGUAAGAGAAGAACGAGUGUGAGAGUGGAAAGUUCACACUGUGACGGUAUCUUACCAAAAAGGGACGGCUAACUACGUG
rnacentral:rRNA from 1 species